CUUGGUCAUUUAGAGGAAGUAAAAGUCGUAACAAGGUUUCCGUAGGUGAACCUGCGGAAGGAUCAUUACUGUGAUUUAUCCACCACACUGCGUGGGCGACACGAAACACCGAAACCGAACGCACGCCGUCAAGCAAGAAAUCCACAAAACUUUCAACAACGGAUCUCUUGGUUCUCGCAUCGAUGAAGAGCGCAGCGAAAUGCGAUACCUAGUGUGAAUUGCAGCCAUCGUGAAUCAUCGAGUUCUUGAACGCACAUUGCGCCCGCUGGUAUUCCGGCGGGCAUGCCUGUCUGAGCGUCGUUUCCUUCUUGGAGCGGAGCUUCAGACCUGGCGGGCUGUCUUUUUGGACGGCGCGCCCAAAGCGAGGGGCCUUCUGCGCGAACUAGACUGUGCGCGCGGGGCGGCCGGCGAACUUUUUACCAAGCUCGACCUCAGAUCAGGCAGGAGUACCCGCUGAACUUAAGCAUAUCAAUAAGCGGAGGAAAUCGAAUUCCCGCGGCC
rnacentral:rRNA from 1 species